rnacentral:lncRNA from 10 species
GAUGUUGUGGUCUUCUUGCUUCUCCUGCUCUCUCUAGCCAAGACUAGAAGAGAUGGGUCCACCUAGAGGAAGGAGCAAAACAGGAGUUAAACUGCAGAGCAUGAUCAAGAGUCGGUCUCACUCACCCUGAUUCGGGAAGUUGGAUUCCACCACUCUGUGGUUCAGGGGCUGGGUCCUGCGGUAAUCGUUGUGGAUGGUCUUGUUGCGGUGAUCCAGUAAGGAAUUCUCCAGCUUCCAAACCUGGGGGCAACGUGAGUGCAUUAUGGAGGGGAAGAGUCACUGGGUAAUUUAAAAGAAAUAACAGUUGGCCCGGCGCAGUGGCUCACGCCUGUAAUCCCAGCAUUUUGGGAGGCUGGGGCGGGCAGAUCACUUGAGCUCAGGAGUUGGAGACCAGCCUGGCCAACAUGGUGAAACCUCUUCUCUACUAAAAAUUAGCUGAUCAUGGUUGUGUGCACCUGUAAUCCCAGCUACUCAGGAGGCUGAGGCAGGAGAAUCGCUUGAACCUGGGAGGCAGAGGCUGCAGUAAGCCAGUAUCACGCAACCGCAC